GGGCAACAGAGCGGGACUCCAUUCCAAAAAAAUAAGAAAAACAGAAAAAUAAUAAUUACAUCUGCAAAGACCUUAUUUCCAGAUCCAAAGUCCACAAAUAUAUCAUAAAUCUGAAGAGGAACUGGGAGAAGCUUCUGCUGGCAGCUCAUGCCAUUGUUGCCAUUGAAAACCCUGCUGAUGUGUCAUAUCCUGCAGGAAUACUAGCUAGUGGGCUGUGCUGAAGUUUGCUGCUGCUGCUGGAGCCACAUGUAUUGCUGGUCACUUCACUUCUGGAACCUUUGCUAACCAGAUCCAAUCAUCUUCUGCCACCCACAUCUUCUGGUGGUUACUGAUUCUAGGGCUAACUAUCAGCCUCUCUCAGGGGCUUCUUAUGGUAACCUACCUACCUACCACUGCUGUAUGUAACAGAUUCUCCUCUGAGCUAUGUGGAUAUUGUCAUCCCAUGCAACAACAAGGAAGCUCAAUCACUGAGUCUAAUGUAGUGGAUGCUGGCCCAGGAAGCUCUGUGCAUGUGUUGCACCAUCUCCCAUGAUCAUGCCUGAUCUCUACUUCUAUAGAGAUCCUGAAGAGAUUGAAAAGGAAGAGUAGGCUGCAGCUGAAAAAGGAGGAAUUUCAAAGUGAAUGGACUGCUGUAGUGCAAGUUUACUGCUACUCAAUCUGAGGUUGCAGACUGGUUUAAAGACAUGCAGGUGCCCUCUGUGCCUAUUCAGCAGUUCCCUACUGAAGAUUGGAGCACUUAGCCUACCAUGAAUGACUGGUCUGCAACUUCCACUGCUCAGACCACUGAAUGGGUAAGAAUAACCACUGAGUGGCCUUAAGCUGUUCUUCCACAAGCUCUUAAACAAGAUGGAAAUAACGCUGAUGGAAAUAAACAACAGUUUCCAAGAAAACACGAACAGCUGAAGUGGCAAUGUUUAAGUAACAUCUGGUAGACUUUAACAUGAAUGUUAUUAAGCAGGAAAUU
rnacentral:lncRNA from 10 species